CCUAGGAAUCUGCCUGAUAGUGGGGGACAACGUUUCGAAAGGAACGCUAAUACCGCAUACGUCCUACGGGAGAAAGCAGGGGACCUUCGGGCCUUGCGCUAUCAGAUGAGCCUAGGUCGGAUUAGCUAGUUGGUGAGGUAACGGCUCACCAAGGCGACGAUCCGUAACUGGUCUGAGAGGAUGAUCAGUCACACUGGAACUGAGACACGGUCCAGACUCCUACGGGAGGCAGCAGUGGGGAAUAUUGGACAAUGGGCGAAAGCCUGAUCCAGCCAUGCCGCGUGUGUGAAGAAGGUCUUCGGAUUGUAAAGCACUUUAAGUUGGGAGGAAGGGCAGUAAGUUAAUACCUUGCUGUUUUGACGUUACCAACAGA
rnacentral:rRNA from 1 species